rnacentral:rRNA from 1 species
ACCCUUCGGGAGCUUGUACAGGUGCUGCAUGGCUGUCGUCAGCUCGUGUCGUGAGAUGUUCGGUUAAGUCCGCUAACGAGCGCAACCCUCGCUGUGUGUUACAAGUGUCACACGGAACUGCCGGUCAUAAACCGGAGGAAGGUGGGGAUGACGUCAAGUCAGCAUGGCCUUUAUAUCCUGGGCUACACACACGCUACAAUGGGAAGGGACAAUAGGUUGCGAAGCCGCGAGGCGGAGCCAAUCCAGCAAAACUUCCCUCAGUUCAGAUUGCAGGCUGCAACCCGCCUGCAUGAAGUUGGAGUUGCUAGUAAACGCAGGUCAGCCAUACUGCGUUGAAUACGUUCCCGGGGCUU